AUGACUAGAGUAAAAGAAGAAUCCUAUUACCUUAAUUCAGUGUGCUAUCUUCUCCGACUUCAAAUUCCUGAAAUUAUAGUAAGACAACGAUGUUAG
rnacentral:sRNA from 1 species